rnacentral:rRNA from 1 species
AUGCACAUGCAUACAACAUUAAUUUACUAGAUCCCAUUAGGACUUCGUAGCUAACCACACUUGGGAUAGAGUAGUAAUGGAAUGGGUGACCUCCCGACAAGUCUUAUUUUUUUACAUU